rnacentral:sRNA from 1 species
CGCGAAGGUCGCGGGUUCGUUCCCCUCAUGGG